ensembl:lncRNA
AGUGGGCCCAUUAGACUCCUGCACUACGUAGGGAAUAGGUAGCCAUUUGGGAUGCAGACUAGGCUCGGACUGGGUCUGUGAAGUCAUGGAUGAAUCUAUCGGAUUGUUAUUUUGAAAAUUACCCAACACACCUCCUUGCUGUGUAAGAGCUAUUUGACGAAGGAGAGUGAUGGAGUGCUGCAUCAGAUAACCUGACCUCUACAAUCACCCGACCUCAACCCAAUUGAGAUUGUUUGAGAUGAGUUGGACUGCAGAGUGAAGGAAAAGCAGCCAACAAGUGCUCAGCAAAUGGGUGAACUCCUGUUGGAAAAGCAUUCCAGUCGCAGUGCUGAGUGCUGUGAGGGUGGAGAGGAAGUAGAGAGGAUAGUGAUCAGGACCCUCACACCACAGCCGCUCAGCCAUCCAUCCAUAAACAGGUUGUGGGCUGCUACUAAGGCUUUAUAGUCCUUUUCCAGGCCCAACCAAGAACUCUGGCAAGGCCUCAACUCCCCUCCCCUCCACCUUCCCCACCCUUCCACAGUACCCUGCACUCUACCUUCCCCUCUACACUGCUCUCCCCUACCCCUUUCCCUCAACUCCCUCCCCUACCCCUUUCCUCAACUCCCCUCCCCUACCGCUCCACCUUCCCUUCCCCUCUACACUGCUCUCCCCUACCCCUUUCCCUCAACUCCCUUCCCCUCCCCUAGCGCUCCACCUUCCCUUCCCCUCUACACUGCCCUCCUCUCCCCUCCACCCUCCACUCUACACUGCCCUCCACUCCCCUCCACCUUCCCCUUCAACCUGGCCUUCUCUGCCCUCCACCCUCCCCUCCACACUGCCCUUCUCUCCCUCCACCCUCCCCUCUACACUGUCCUCCUCUCCCCUACACCUUCCCAUCUACACUGCCCUUCUCCCCCUCCACCUUCCCAUCUACACUACCCUCCCCCCUUCACUGCCCCCUUCCCCUCCACACUGCCCUCCUCUCCCUUUCCCUCCACCCGUCCUCAGCAAGUUCUUCUGCUUUUCUGUCAAUUACAGCAGUAGUUUCUUGGUAAAUAAACUUUCGAGGCCAUUGCCUUUUAAAACGUGAGACUGUGGGUGGAAUGGAUGCCAGCACCAGAAGAGAAGAGAGAGGAGGAGAGGAUGCCAGAAGGAGAGAGAGGAGGAGAGGAUGCCAGGAGAGACAGGAGAGAGGAUGCCAAGAGGAGAGAGGAGAGAGGAUGCCAGAAGGAGAGGAGGAGAGAAGAUGCCAGAAGGAGAGAGGAGGAGAGAGGAUGCCAGAAGGAGAGAGAGGAGGAGAGGAUGCCAGAAGAAAUAGAGGAGGAGAGAGGAUGCCAAAAGGAGAGAGAGGAGAGAGGAUGUCAGAAGGAGAGAGAGGAGGAGAGGAUGCCAGAAGGAGAGAGAGAGGAUGCAAGAAGGAGAGGAGGAUAGAGGAUGCCAGAAGGAGAGAGAGGAGGAGAGGAUGCCAGAAGGAGAGAGGAGAGAGGAUGCCAAAAGGAGAGAGAGGAGAGAGGAUGCCAGAAGGAGAGAGGGGAGAGAGGAUGCCAAAAGGAGAGAGAGGAGAGAGGAUGCCAGAUUGAGAGAGAGGAGAAAGGAUGCCAGAAGGAGAGGAGGAGAGAGGAUGCCAGAAGGAGAGAGAAGGAGAGAGGAUGCCAAAAGGAGAGAGAGGAGAGAGGAUGCCAAGAGGAGAGAGGAGAGAGGAUGCCAGAAGGAGAGGAGGAGAGAGGAUGCCAGAAGGAGAGGAGGAGAGAGGAUGCCAGAAGGAGAGAGGAGAGAGGAUGCCAGAAGGAGAGAGGAGGAGAGGAUGCCAGAAGGAGAGAGGAUGCCAGAAGGAGAGAGGAGAAGAGAGAGGAUGCCAGAAGGAGAGAGAAGAGAGGAUGCCAGAAGGAGAGAGGAGAAAGGAUGCCAGAAGCAGAGAGGAGAGGAGAGAGGAUGCCAGAAGGAGAGAGGAGAGAGGAUGCCAGAAGGAGAGAGGAGAGGAGAGGAUGCCAGAAGGAGACAGGGGGAGAGGAUGCCAAAAGGAGAGAGAGGAGGAGAGGAUGCCAGAAGGAGAGAGAGGAGGAGAGAGUAUGCCAAAAGGAGAGAGAGGAGAGAGGAUGCCAAAAGGAUAGAGAGGAUAGCGGAUGCCAGAAGGAGAGAGGAGGAAAGAGGAUGCCAAAAGGAGAGAGAGGAGAGAGGAUGCCAAAAGGAGAGAGAGGAGAGAGGAUGCCAAGAGGAGAGAGGAUGCCAGAAGGAGAGGAGGAGAGAGGAUGCCAGAAGGAGAGAGAGGAGGAGAGGAUGCAAGAAGGAGAGAGGAGGAGAGAGGAU